GAAACAAGUGAAAAAAACAGGAAAAACAGAGAUAAGUUGGAGAUAAUACAUUGUGCAGGGACAAAGGCAUUUAGUCGCCUUAGAACUGAAAAUCGAAAUCCUGAGAAUGGAGAGGAAGUUGGUCGUAUUGACCUUUUCAAGCUCACACGAUAUAGCGAAAAGAAAUCUGCAUGGGUUGGUGAUACUGCAAAGAAUGCUUUUGAAGAGAUGAAGAAUCUACAAAACGAGCCACAAAUGAAUGAAGAAACUGGUGAAAUAAUGUCUGAAGAUGAGAUCUAUGAUAAAGUUCUCUCGAAAAUUGUUGGUCCACCUCGAUCAGGCUAUAUACGAGGCUUAUGAGCUGGGCCAAAGCCUAAAAGAUCUAAA